UUUAUUUUUUAUGAGAGGGAUUUUUUUUUUUUUCAAUUUUGCACGGAAGAGAGAUUCCAUUCACUCUUCACGGUUGAGCAUCUUUAGAAGAGCAACUCUAGCCAUCAAUCGUAGUCCCUAAUCCCUAUCGACUCUGCAGUCUUCACCGGAAGAGGCACCAUCACUGAAUAUUUUCUGUCAAACCUGUAGUAGCGGCCAUCCUUCAUCAUUUUCUGGUUGGACUUUCAAGGAUCUCCGUUUGGAUCGUAACUGUGUCCCCAUCGAUAGUGCUAAGUCAUUGAGACAAUCCUCUAUUUCUUCUUUGCUUUCACUCCCCAAUCGCCAUUCGAACUUAGGCAGCUGAUUUGAUUCAAAUAAAACCAUUUUACUAUAAACUUCCCUUGUUGGAGCUUCUUUCCCAUUUAUUGUGACCCAAAACCCUAGGGAAAGCUUGGUAGCUACGACCAUAGUUGGUUGUGACUCUUUACUGUGCAACUUGAUCAAGGCCAACUUUCAAAGAGUAGUACAUCAUCGAGAUGUCUCCUAUGACAUUGCCAAUGGACUCAUCAGGCAUUUCAGACCUGAGCUGGAUAGGAUCAGGGAGCGUGCCAAAAAGGAGUUGCUUGAAGCUGUUGCUGCUUGAAUGAUCCACGCAAGGAAAUUGCAGAUGUGUUGGCCAUUGUGAAAUAAAGUUGAAAGAUAGCUAUGUUUGGAACAAAGGAAUGUAAUUUGCUGCAAGUAUUCCAUUACAAGACAAUUGCAUGUAAAGUUAAAGAUCUUCAAAAUGUGGAAUCAAUCUCUCAUGAACUAUUCAUCAUUUUUAACCAACUAGUUAUCAUGGUUAUUUAGUCCAAGGCACAACUGCGAAUAUAUAGAUGGAGACAUUGAAUCAAAUUUCUAUUUGUUAAUUGUAUUAUUUAUAUGAUAACAAUUUGGAAAUUAUAAUAUAUCAAGUUGUGUAUAAAUUGCAGUUGGAAUGUAAUU